GACGUAGGGCGCGAGCGUUGUCCGGAUUUAUUGGGCGUAAAGAGCUCGUAGGCGGCUUGUUGCGUCGACCGUGAAAACCCGUGGCUUAACUGCGGGCUUGCGGUCGAUACGGGCGGGCUGGAGUUCGGUAGGGGAGACUGGAAUUCCUGGUGUAGCGGUGAAAUGCGCAGAUAUCAGGAGGAACACCGGUGGCGAAGGCGGGUCUCUGGGCAACAACUGACGCUGAGGAGCGAAAGCGUGGGGAGCGAACAGG
rnacentral:rRNA from 1 species